rnacentral:rRNA from 1 species
CCUACGGGAGACUGCAGUGGGGGAUAUUGCACAAUGGGGGGAACCCUGAUGCAGCGACGCCGCGUGGGUGAAGAAGCGCCUCGGCGCGUAAAGCCCUGUCAGCAGGGAAGAAAAUGACGGUACCUGAAGAAGAAGCCCCGGCUAACUACGUGCAAGCAGCCGCGGGAAUACGUAGGGGGCAAGCGUUAUCCGGAUUUACUGGGUGUAAAGGGGGCGCAGACGGCGAUGCAAGCCAGGAGUGAACGCCCGGGGCCCAACCCCGGGACUGCUCUGGGAACUGCGUGGCUGGAGUGCAGGAGGGGCAGGCGGAAGUGCUGGUGUAGCGGUGAAAUGCGUAGAUAUCAGGAGGAACACCGGUGGCGAAGGCGGCCUGCUGGACUGCAACUGACGUUGAGGCCCGAAAGCGUGGGGAGCAAACAGGAUUAGAUACCCCAGUAGUC